CCUACGGGAGGCAGCAGUGGGGAAUCUUGCACAAUGGAGGAAACUCUGAUGCAGCGAUGCCGCGUGAGUGAAGAAGGCCUUUGGGUUGUAAAGCUCUUUUGUAGGGGAAGAUAAUGACUGUACCCUAAGAAUAAGGUCCGGCUAACUUCGUGCCAGCAGCCGCGGUAAUACGAAGGGACCUAGCGUAGUUCGGAAUUACUGGGCGUAAAGCGCGCGUAGGCCGUUGAGUUAGUUAAUUGUGAAAUCCCAAAGCUUAACUUUGGAACUGCAAUUAAAACUGCUCGACUAGAGUUUGAUAGAGGAAAGCGGAAUACAUAGUGUAGAGGUGAAAUUCGUAGAUAUUAUGUAGAACACCAGUUGCGAAGGCGGCUUUCUGGAUCAACACUGACGCUGAGGCGCGAAAGUAUGGGUAGCAAAGAGGAUUAGAUACCCUCGUAGUCCAUACCAUAAACGAUGAUUGCUAGAUGUUGGAAAUUUAUUUCAGUAUCGCAGCUAACGCAUUAAGCAAUCCGCCUGGGGAGUACGACCGCAAGGUUAAAACUCAAAGUAUAGUACGACGUGAGAGAGCGACGACGACGACGACGGAGGAGGAG
rnacentral:rRNA from 1 species